UACGUAGGGUGCGAGCGUUGUCCGGAAUUAUUGGGCGUAAAGAGCUUGUAGGCGGUUUGUCGCGUCUGCUGUGAAAUUUCGGGGCUCAACCCCGAACUUGCAGUGGGUACGGGCAGACUAGAGUGUGGUAGGGGAGACUGGAAUUCCUGGUGUAGCGGUGAAAUGCGGCAGAUAUCAGGAGGAACACCGGUGGCGAAGGCGGGUCUCUGGG
rnacentral:rRNA from 1 species